GCGAACGGGCGAGGAAUGCGUUUCUAACGUGCCCCAAGGUCGAGGAUAGCUCGGGGAAACCCGGGGUAAUACUCGAUGACCCCCAUGGAUCGCAUGGUUCGUGGGGCAAAGGCUUGCUGCCUUGGGAUCGGGAAACGCCCUAUCAGGUUGUUGGUGAGGUAACGGCUCACCAAGCCUAAGACGGGUAGCGGGUGUGAGAGCAUGACCCGCCGCAUCGGGACUGAGACACUGCCCGGACUCCUACGGGAGGCUGCAGCAACGGAUAUUGGGCAAUGAGCGAAAGCUUGACCCAGCAAUGCCGCGUGCAGGAGGAAGCCCCUCGGGGUGUAAACUGCUGUCAGGGUUUAGGAAGUUCUGACCAAACCCAAAGGAAGGGCCGGCUAACUUCGUGCCAGCAGCCGCGGUAAUACGAAGGGCCCAAGCGUUAAUCGGAAUCACUGGGCUUAAAGGGUGCGCAGGCGGAAAUGGUCAGUGUCUUGUGAAAUCCCACGGCUCAACCGUGAAAUUGCAGGGCAUACUGCCAUUCUUGAGGCCGGUAGAGGCCGCCGGAACUCUAGGUGUAGCGGUGAAAAUGCGUAGAUAUCUAAGAGGAACCCCCAAAGACGGAAGGUAGGCGGCUUGGGCCGGUUUCUGACGCCUCAGGCACGAAAGGCGUGUGGAGCAAACCAGGAUUAGAUACCCUGGUAGUCCAACGCCCGUAAACGUUGUGCACUAGGUGCUGGAGGUUCUGACACCAUCAGCCCCGAAGCGAAAGUGAUUAGGGCACCGCCUGGGGAGUACGGUCGCAAGGCUAAAACUCAAAGGAAUUGACGGGGGGCUCACACAAGCGGUGGAGCAUGUGGCUUUAAUUCGAGGCAACGCGAAGAACCUUAUCCUGGGCUUGACAUGCAUGGAUUAACGCCUGGGAAACCAGCGCCACACUCUUUGAGUGGAACAUGCACAGGUGCUGCAUGGCUGUCGUCAGCUCGUGCUGUGAAGUGUUGGGUUAAGUCCCUUAACGAGCGAAACCCCUGUCGCUAGUAGCCAUCAGGUAAUGCUGGGGACUCUAGCGAGACUGCCGGUGUCAAACCGGAGGAAGGCGGGGAUGACGUCAAGUCCUCAUGGCCUCUAUGCCCAGGGCUGCACACGUGCUACAAUGGCGCCGACAGAGCGAAGCAAAACCGCGAG
rnacentral:rRNA from 1 species